rnacentral:hammerhead_ribozyme from 1 species
AUCCAAAUGACAAGUCCCAAAUAGGACGAAAUGAGUAUCCUGGAU